rnacentral:rRNA from 1 species
UUGGAGGGCAAGUCUGGUGCCAGCAGCCGCGGUAAUUCCAGCUCCAAUAGCGUAUAUUAAAGUUGUUGCAGUUAAAAAGCUCGUAGUUGAAUUUCGGGGUUAGCAGGUCGGUCGUGCCAUCGGUAUGAACUGGUCUCGCUGAUCCCUCCCUCUUGAAGAACUGUGAUGCCAUUAAUUUGGUGUCGCAGGGAAUCAGGACUGUUACUUUGAAAAAAUUAGAGUGUUUAAAGCAGGC